GUGUUCUUAACUUGCCAGCACAUACACUAAAAUCGGAAUGACACAGAGAUUAGUAUGGUCCCUGCUCAAGGAUGACACACAAAUUUAUGAAGUAUUCCAUAUUUUA
rnacentral:snRNA from 1 species